GACGAACGCUGGCGGCGUGCCUAACACAUGCAAGUCGAGCGAUGAAGCUCCUUCGGGAGUGGAUUAGCGGCGGACGGGUGAGUAACACGUGGGUAACCUGCCUCAUAGAGAGGGAUAGCCUUCCGAAAGGAAGAUUAAUACCUCAUAAGAUUGUAGUUUCGCAUGAAACGGCAAUAAAAGGAGCAAUCCGCUAUGAGAUGGACCCGCGUCGCAUUAGCUAGUUGGUAAGGUAAUGGCUUACCAAGGCGACGAUGCGUAGCCGACCUGAGAGGGUGAUCGGCCACAUUUGGACUGAGACACGGCCCAGACUCCUACGGGAGGCAGCAGUGGGGAAUAUUGCACAAGGGGGGAAACCCUGAUGCAGCAACGCCGCGUGAGUGAUGACGGUCUUCGGAUUGUAAAACUCUGUCUUUGGGGACGAUAAUGACGGUACCCAAGGAGGAAGCCACGGCUAACUACGUGCCAGCAGCCGCCGUAAGAC
rnacentral:rRNA from 1 species